GGUCCAGCAUUAACUCAAACCAAGCUGAGAAACCUUAACAAGCCUAGUGGAAGUCUUCCUAUGCAUGCUGUGCUAUUAUACAAUGAAUCACUCCAGAUACAUUUGCAAAAUUUCAGAACAACAGGUGUUUAUUCUGCUAUUGCCUGAUAAUAUAUGAUUUAACAGGGGUCGAAGCGAAGCGAGUCAUCUUCCCUAAUUUCCACAUCGAUGGUCAUCCUAGUCAUGUUGAUCUGAAAUCAAGAAUCAAGAUCAUUGGUGCAGAUUGUGGCCCUUGACUCUGGCAUGGACUUACAAUUUUAUUGUCGUUGUUUUUUAUAUAGAGGUAUCACUUCAUAGGCAACUUAAGUUUUUGAUUCUAGCUUGCAUAAUUGCAUCAAGAAAACAAAAGAUUCUAGCUUAUGCUCAAGUUAAACUUUGCUGGGUUCUUGGACAGCUUUAUGCCCUUUCAAUCCACGAAAACACUUCUUGAUUUGCUUAUUUUCCUGGUAAAAUAAAAUCCUAUUGAAGAUGCUUGUAUCUCAUAAGAUGUCCUCUCCAUGUCUGUUGUUGCUCGAGUCAUGUUUAGUUUGAUUUCAGCUUCCUCUGUUUUGUAUUUAGAUCUGGACAAUUAUCUGGGAGUCAAAAAUAUCUUACUAUCGCUCUUGUCCAAACAUGCUUAA